AGAGUUUGAUCAUGGCUCAGAUUGAACGCUGGCGGCAUGCUUUACACAUGCAAGUCGAACGGUAACAGGGAGCUUGCUCCGCUGACGAGUGGCGAACGGGUGAGUAAUGCAUCGGAACGUACCCAGUCGUGGGGGAUAACGUAGCGAAAGUUACGCUAAUACCGCAUACGUCCUGAGGGAGAAAGCGGGGGACCGUAAGGCCUCGCGCGAUUGGAGCGGCCGAUGUCGGAUUAGCUAGUUGGUAGGGUAAAGGCCUACCAAGGCGACGAUCCGUAGCGGGUCUGAGAGGAUGAUCCGCCACACUGGGACUGAGACACGGCCCAGACUCCUACGGGAGGCAGCAGUGGGGAAUUUUGGACAAUGGGCGAAAGCCUGAUCCAGCCAUGCCGCGUGAGUGAAGAAGGCCUUCGGGUUGUAAAGCUCUUUCAGCCGGAAAGAAAUCGCGCAGGAUAAUACUCUGCGUGGAUGACGGUACCGGAAGAAGAAGCACCGGCUAACUACGUG
rnacentral:rRNA from 1 species